AGUGAACGCUGGCGGUAUGCCUAACACAUGCAAGUCGAACGGCAGCACAUUACGAGCUUGCUCUUACGGGUGGCGAGUGGCGGCCGGGUGAGGAAUACAUCUGAAUCUACUUUUUCGUGGGGGAUACCGUAGGGAAACUUACGCUAAUACCGCAUACGACCUACGGGUGAAAGCAGGGGAUCUUCGUACCUUGCGCGAUUGCAUGCGCCGAUGUCGGAUUAGCUAGUUGGCGGGGUCAAGGCCCCCCAAGGCGACGAUCCGCAGCUGGUCUGAGAGGAUGGUCAGCCACACUAGAAGUGAGACACGGACCCGACGCCUACGGGAGGCAGCAGUGGGGAAUAGUGGGCAAUGGGGGAGAGCCUGAUACAGCCAUACCGCGUGGGUGAAGAAGGCCUUCGGGUGGGAAAGCCCGUUUGUUGGGAAAGAAACGCAGCAGGUUAAGACGCCGCUGUUCUGACGGUACCUAAAGAAGAAGCACCGGCUAACUUCGUG
rnacentral:rRNA from 1 species